AGGAAGAAGAGGAAGAGAAAAGCUCCAAAUGGAGAAGAAAACAUUUAUUCCACAAUUGAAAUACAGUUGGAGUCAUGAUAACAACAGAAACAAGAAAAACAAACAUUCCCAAUCUGCUUCGUUGAAAUUUGAGAUGAACACCUGAUCUUGUUGGGCAACACUGAAUGAGAAGGGAGUAUAAACUUCAAUUACUUAAGCUUGACCAGCAGGAGCUGAUUGUGAGGUUGAGUUGCAAGUGAUGAUUUAUUUCUGGGGAACUCCCACACACACUGACAGAUGAACCUCUAUUAAAAAAGAGAUACCUCUGCACCAGAAUUCCAGGUGUCUAGACAAGUGUACACAGAAGAAGAAAAUGUCAGGUCUCUGAGCACAGGCCUGCACGUAUAUAUCCAGAUGGCCUGAAGCAAGUGAAGAAUUACAAAAGAAGUGAAAAUGGCCAGUUCCUGCCUUAACUGAUGACAUUACCUUGUGAAAUUCCUUCUCCUGGGUCAGAAGCUUCCCCACUGAGCACCUUAUGAUGGCCACCCCUGCCCGUCAGAAAGCAACCCCCUUUGACUGUAAUUUUCCACUACCUACACAAAUCCUAUAAAAUGGCCCCACCACUAUCUCCCUUCACUGAGUCUCUAUUUGGACUCAGCCUGCCUGCACCCAGGUGAUUAAAAAGCUUUAUUGCUCAC
rnacentral:lncRNA from 10 species